rnacentral:rRNA from 1 species
GCGACGUGCCUAAGGUAUGCAAGUCGAAUGCCGAUUUAUCGGCAUGGCAGACGGCUGAGUAACACAUGGGAAUCUACCUCAAACUCGAGAAUAGCCCAUCGAAAGGUGGUGUAAUACUCGAUAGUUCCGUUUACGGUAAAGCUCCGGCGGUUUGAGAUGAGCCCAUGUCCUAUCAGGUUGUUGGUGGGGUAAUUGCCUACCAAGCCUAUGACGGGUAGCUGGUUUGAGAGGAUGAUCAGCCAGACUGGGACUGCGAUACGGCCCAGACUCCUACGGGAGGCAGCAACUAGGAAUCAUGCGCAAUGGACGAAAGUCUGACGCUGCGACGUCGCGUGAGGGAUGAAGGUCUUAGGAUCGUAAACCUCUUUUAUCUGGGAACAAGUUCUGAGUGUACCAGAUGAAUAAGUGCCUGCCAACCACGUGCCAGAAGCAUCGGUAAUGCGUGGGGCACGAGCGUUAUCCGGAUUUACUGGGCGUAAAGAGAUGCGUAGGCGCCUUUUUAAGUCACUUGUAAAAUCUCCCCGCUCAACGGGGAAACUGCAAGUGAUACUGAAUUGGUUGAGUCAAGUAGAGGAGAGGGGAAUUCCUGGUGGAGCGGUUAAAUGCGUUGAUAUCAGGAGGAAUACCAAGUGCGAAGGCACCUCUCUGGACUUGUACUGACGCUAAGGCUCGAAAGUGUGGGGAGCAAAACGGAUUAGAUACCCGUGUAGUCCACACUGUAAACGAUCCCUGCUAGAUGUUUGC